ACAGUGGACGCGAGCAUCUGUGGCCAAGUUUUUAAGGGCGCACGGUGGAUGCCUUGGCACCAGGAACCGAUGAAGGACGUGGGAGGCCGCGAUAGGCCCCGGGGAGCUGUCAACCGAGCUGUGAUCCGGGGGUGUCCGAAUGGGGGAACCCGGCAGUCGUCAUGGGCUGUCACCUGCCGCUGAAUGUAUAGGCGGUGUGGAGGGAACGCGGGGAAGUGAAACAUCUCAGUACCCGUAGGAAGAGAAAACAACCGUGAUUCCGGGAGUAGUGGUGAGCGAAACCGGAGGAGGCUAAACCGUAUGUGUGUGAGACCCGGCAGGGGUUGCGCAUGCGGGGUUGUGGGAUCUCACUUCAAUGGUCUGCCGGCUGUUGGACGAGUGAAAAAUUGUUGGUGUAGGCGAAGGGCAUGCGAAAGGCCCGGCGUAGAGGGUAAGACCCCCGUAGCUGAAAUGCCAGCAACUUGUUUGUGAGACUCCCAAGUAGCAUGGGGCCCGAGAAAUCCUGUGUGAAUCUGGCGGGACCACCCGUCAAGCCUAAAUAUUCCCUGGUGACCGAUAGCGGAUAGUACCGUGAGGGAAUGGUGAAAAGUACCGCGGGAGCGGAGUGAAAGAGU
rnacentral:rRNA from 1 species